UGCGCAGCCUCUCUCUCUCCCCUCUGUUCAGCCAGCUGCGACGGCAGCAGCUUCCGGCAACAAUUCCGGCUAUAUCCGGCCGUCUCCUGCCACGAAAUUUGUCCCAUUCUCUUCGUUUUUCACCCCUCUACACAUCUAUACCAUUUUCCAGCCCCAAAUCUAAGAAAAAUUAAGCCAAAAUUCAAGCCAAACUCAGCCCAAAAUCGGGCAGCUUCAAACAGUGGCUGUUCGUGGUCUUUUCGGGCCAAUUCCGGCGUCCACAGCUCAGGUUUUCAAGAGACAGAAAGCUUCGUUCGAGGGCUUUAAAGGUGGAAUUGAUCGUCGAGCCAAGAAUCAUGGGCCCAAAGCGUGGUGGUACUCAUAUAGGGACUCAUUAGUCGUCCCGACUUCAGGGACAUGAUCUCCCUCCUGAGCCGGAGAACUAUCCGAUUCCGGGUCCGGCACUGGAACAGGUUGAACAGUCUUUCGUAGGAGGUCAGAUAGGGGCAGCACCGGUGAUGGCUACUCCACCAAUUGAUCCCAACUUUCAGCAUACACUCGAGUUGUUAACUCAGCCGCUGUCUCGAACUGAACAUACCAGAGAUGCGUCCUUGACAUAUGCGGACCAGGCUAGAAGGAUAGGGGCCGUGGAAUUUAAUGGUGAUGGUGAUCCCGCCAUGGCUGAAGAAUGGAUAGAAAAGAUGGAAAGAAUUAUGGAUGUAAUGGACAUUCCACAGGAGCGCAGAGUAGUGUUGGCUACCUUCUUCCUUUCUAGAAAUGCAAGUUAUUGGUGGGAAUCAGUGAGAAGACAGUACCAUGACCCAUCAACCAUCACAUGGCAAGUUUUUCGUACAACAUUUGAUGAGCAGUUCUAUCCUUUGGCUUAUCAAAAUAUGAAGAUGGAGGAGUUUCUUCAGCUUGAACAGGGCAGUAUGACGGUGCUAGAGUAUGAAAAGAAAUUUAAUGAACUAUCCAAGUAUUGCACACCAUUGGUAGCAGACGAGAGGAAGGAAUGUCAGUUGUUUACUAGGGGUUUAAAGGCAUCCAUCCGUGACAUCGUGGUGGGACAGUGUCUAGUAAACUUUGGUGAUUUGGUUACAUCUGCUUCAUUGAUUGAGAGCAAUCAGAUGAUGGUGCGGGGACGAGGUGAUUCCCGCCGGCGUCAGUACGAUAAGGGUGGUCCUAGUCAGGGGUCAUCCAAAAGGGGUAGUUUCAAUUCUGGAUCGUCUAGUGGCCGUAGUUAUGGAGGUUUUCGAGCUGGAGUCAAUUCCAGUGGUGGAUCUAAUAAGAGUGGUAGUUCUGGACCCCGUUCCAGAGAUGAUAGAGCUAGAAGCUCAGGGACACAAUUGCAAACGGUUUAUAGUGGAAGGAAUCGCCCCCGGUGUGCCUUGUGCAACAGAUUUCAUACUGGGCCUUGUCAACUAGGUGCCUCUGGGUGCUAUCAUUGUGGACAGACAGGGCAUUUUCGGCGGGAGUGCCCGAUGCUACUGCAAGGUAGAGAAAUCAUUGCUGGGCCAACCCAGGGGAGUGGAGUACAGAGUCGAGUGCCAGGUACAUCUCAGUUUGGGGGAGCCUCAUCUAGCAGUGGGGCCCAGACUAGCUCGACUAGCAGAGGGGACGCGGUGGAUGUUCCAGAGUGACUGGCAGGGUGUACAAUAUGACUCAGUAGGAGGCACAUGCAUCACCAGACGUCAACUUAUAGGUAUGUUACCGGUUUUUAGAAUUUCUGCACGUAUUUUGAUCUUCCCUGGGGCCACACAUUCUUUUAUUGCACAUAGUUUUGCUCAUAAUGUGAAUGUGAGACUCACAGCCCUACGUGAGGAGCUUGCUAUUUCUGUACCCACGGGGGAUGUUUUUAUGGUUGGUACGGUGUAUAGGAAUAGUUCAGUUUUGGUAGGCGAUGUGUUCUUGGAGGCGGACUUAAUCCCUUUGGAUAUUAUGGAUUUGGACGUCAUUCUGGGCAGUAGUCGCGUACUCGAGCACCACCACAAAGCAGUCGUCGCUCUACAUUCCUCCUUUUUCUUUAUGCAGGAUAUUCUGCCGUGACCUUGUUAUUUCAUUAUAAAUUAAUGAAUUAGGUUGCUUUGAAAUUGCCCUAGGAUUUCUGUAAGGCCCGAGUCCAUAAAGUUUUGAUGUUUGGUUGCAUGAAUCCUAUUAUUGUGCAUGCUGAACGGUUGGGUUAUAAAUUGUUUUUCGUGCAUGUGUAAAUUUUUGGGAAACGAGUAUUUACAGGGGAGACUGCCGAAUUUUCAACAUAAGUCAAACCCUAAAGAAA